GCCGACGCGGCUUCGGAUCCAGCACACCAUGGAAGCUGCGCUCUUUCCGGCUUCCUUGGCUCGUUGGCUCCUCGGCAUCACCGCACCAUCACCCUGCCGGUGCCCUUUGUUGGUCGUCCAUCCGGGCGCAUCUCCGUUUCUGGCUCGCUCCGGGAGCUGCAUCCCCUUCCAGCUCCUAGGCUUGCCGGUGCUCUGCUGCUCCGGUCCCGGUGGCCUUGAUCUACACUUUCCAAAUCCUGGUUCGUCCGGGGCUCCGCCCACCGUCACAUCUCGUUGCCUUCCAUUUCGCUCAGCCACACAACCCCGCCCUCUAACGGAGCUCGCAAGUCCGGCGACGCUCGGUGCCUCCUUCGGCGUCGGGCGUGGCUCCCCUUCCUCCUGUAGCAAUUUCGCCCUAUACUCGACUUCCUCUUCUCCGAUUUGUUCUCCGACGGCUUGGGAUUGUUCGGAAUUUGGCCAGGGAGCAAUCCCCGCAUUCUAUGCUGGCACUGGCGACACUUGCGGGUGUCGUUCCCUUCUUGAAGGCACUGCCAUGGCCACUUUCUGGGGCCCUCUUCAAGCAACAGGGGAAACUCUAGGUCCGGCUUCCCAGAUCGGACGCCGGUAACGUCUCGUGUCGUUCUCCUUCCUGAAGGCGUUGUCUUGUUUGCUCGCGGCGUCCUCGGUGCUGACUUCGGUGAUGUCGGUCGUCUAGUUAUUGGUCGGAUUGUGUCUCUGGUUGGCGAGUUCAGCUGUGUUUUUCUUUGGGUCGAGUGUCUCAUGUCUCUCCAGUUUGGGGCACCAUGUUCACGCCUUUUGCAUCCGUGCCAUGUGUUGUAUCACCUCCUGUACUCAUUCAACCUCUCAUAUCAAUGCAAUGAUAAGCAAGCUUUGCGUAUUCCCGAAUUAAUCUGGGCCCUUAUUACAAGUAUUGGGAAGGAAAUGUUUCACAUAUAAGCAGUUCUGCAGUAGUGAGAGUUGAAGCAGUCAGAUAAUAAAUGCCUUGCACAUUUCUAUCUUUUGUGAUAUAGUAAGUUUUUGUUCAAUUUAUGAACUAAUUAAUGAGUGAGGUGUUUUGGCUCCAAGGCCCAGAUGAGCCCAGGACUAAUUAAAAAUCAUUUAGAAAAUUCCAACUUUUUGGUGGAGAAAGAUGACCAAGUGCGUGAUGUCCGUGCCAAAUUUCACAGCAUUUGGAUGUCUGAUUAGUUCUCAGCAAAAAAGACAAAUUCAGAGUCUAUGAAAAAGUUUACUGUUUGUGCAUUGUUUGGACCCGAUUUUUUUUGCUGAAAGCUACUUAGAUGUCCAGAUGCUUUAAAAUUUGGCACGCAUCUCACGCACUCAGUCAUUUUUGUCCACAAAAAAAUUCAGAAUUUUUUGAACUUUUCUAGUAUUAUUUACGAAUUUACUGUUCAUUGAGUGUAGAUGAGCUGGGCUCAGAAUUGGAUAUUAGCUAAUUAAUGGCCAACAUAAAGUAAAUACAUUUUUAUUUUUAUUUUUAUUAUCCCCUUAUGCUUAUCUUCUUGGUGUGUGUUAAUUAAUACGUCUGCCAAGAAGAAAUGUGUGUUAUCCUUCUGUAGCAAGUUUUAAUUAGACAUUAAUCGAUUGCUUUAAAUAGCUUGUUAUCUAUUCAUAGGAUUUGCCUUUAUAUAACAUAAUGUUAUUUGCAAGUAAGUAUGCAAUUAAUGUAUUUGGCCUAUAAAAAGCGUAAGGUGUUAACUCGAGCAUACUAUUGUGCUCGUCAGUCAAACAGAACCGCCUCACUGAUCAAACAUGGAUGUCAAAUUAGCAACGAUUAUGUUCUUUGUGCUCCUCGGAUGCCAUGUGUUUUCCGUGCACUGUGGUCGCCAGAUAGAUGGCGGGAUUGGAGCUAAGGCUUACCAUGGUCCUCCGAUAGUGUUGUGUGUGAAGAAUACAUGUGCCCAUCACACAUGUUGGUGUUGUGCAACACAGUGGCCCGGUGAACUCUGCUAUGACAAUCUACUCCCUCCGUUCCCAAAUAUAAAUCUUUUUAGAGAUUGCAACAAGUGACUACAUACGAAGUAAAAUGAAUGAAUCUAUACUCUAAAAUAUGUCUACAUACAUUCGUAUGUUGUAAUUUAUUUAAAAUGUCUAAAAAGACUUAUAUUUAGGAACGGAGGGAGUAGAUGAUUGCGACAAAGUAUGCCCGCAUGCGCGUACACCAUCAUUACCGAUGAAUGAACAUGCCAAGUUUUAGUUCAGCCUGGCGUCUAAUGACGAGAUGAUUAAAAUAUCAAUAUUGAAAAUCAUUCAACAGGUGGGAACUAAGAAAUCACAUAUUUGAUCUUAUGUAUUUAGAGUUUGAAUAAAUUGCACCUUCUUCAUGAUGUAUGGGUCUAUCA